rnacentral:tRNA from 1 species
UGCCGGAUGGUGUAACGGUAGCACAGUGGACUGUUAAUCCUCUAGUCCAAGUUCGAAUCUUGGUCUGGCAGCCA